CUUCCGCCCUCCCCGCACAGGAGGGUGGAACGAGGCAUGCGGCGCUCUCUGCCCUGACCGCGCCGAUGCCUCUCCCACGGCCGCGCGGGACCGCACACCCGUCGGCCGUAGCAACUCCGGGCUGCGGUGCCGGACGGGUUGAGGGUCCCGUCGCGGCGC
rnacentral:ncRNA from 1 species